CUCAGACCUUGCCCCAGCCAUCUGUGCAGGUGACACCCUCACAAGGCAACCUUUUAGCUGGGUUGACUCAGAAGGGGCCUUUCCGGCCUGAGUCACUGUCUUCCAGGAGUGCCCAGGCUCUGCCAGCCUCGCCCACCUGCCUGCUUGCUCAACAGCCCUUUACAAUAGGCUCCACCUUCCUCAACAGGACCCAACAAGGUUCCCCCUGCCGCUCUCUGGCUCUUGGCGGUCUCUGUCCUGGUCAGCAUGGCUGGCAGCCCUGGCCCACCUGCGUUUGCUCUGCUGCCUUUGUGGGAACCAGGAAUCCCACUGCUGGGAGAGGCAUCCUUGGCACCUGGAGGGGUUUGGAGACUCGAGGAGGCCCAGCUCUGCCAGCGGAUUGCUGUGUGACUGUGGCAAGGCACUCCUUGCGGAAGUGAGUUUGGACCUGGUGAUGGGCCGCAUAUCCCGGGUCCCACGUGGCCAGCUUCUGGGACUGUGGGAGGACUAUAGGCAAGGGGCAUUCAACUCCGGAGUUUGCGUACCUGUAAGUGCGUGUUUGUGUAUGUGUAUAGGGGGUACAUAGGCAAGUAUGUAUCUCUGUGUUGUGUUUCUGAAGGUCUGAAGGUGCACAGCUGUGAGCACAAGCCCACAUUGUGUGUGUGUGUCUAACAGGGUCAGAGGCUCCCGGACAUUCCUGAGUGCUUGUACACAGGCUGGCUACUAUUCUCAGUGCCUGGGAGGAACCAGCUCCUUAAAUGAAGGAAUGGUGAGUUAUUUUGUAAAGUGGGUAGCAACCUCCUUAAGUUGGGGGUGCUUAUCUGAAAUCUGCAAGGGGGUUUACCUAAUAAACUGAGGCCCCACAUUUAGAAUGGACUCUGAAGAUGGUGUGCCAGUCAAAGACCCUCUCCCAGGUCCUGGCAGAGCCGCUGGCACAACACCUGGGUGGCAGCCCACUGUCCAGCCCAGGCUUGAAGGAGCAAGAGCAGUAUCGGCCUGUGCCAGCUCGCUGGGGGCAGGGCAGGCUGGGCCACGUGAACAGAGAGGGUGUCGUCAGGCCUCCUGGGGGAACCCGAGCCGAGCCAGAUCCUGCCUGGCGAGUCCGUCACCUUCAUCUCAGCUUACACUCCCAGGGAAACUGGCUGCUCUGCGUGGAGGCUGGCCCCAGAUAUCAGGGCCCCGAGGAUGCAGCCUUGAACUCUGGAGAGAAGCAGACCAGAGAGAGGGGCGUGGCAUGGAGACGCCCUUGGCAGUGCCCCUGGGUGAGGCUGGUGUGGGGUGGAUUGGAGAGGCCAGGCUUGAAAAGGAAGCUGGAGCCAGGACUUUGAGCUCCGGGUACAGAGGGAUCUCUGCAGAGCCGCUACUUAUGGGUCCUGGCCACCUUCCAUGAGGGGGAGGCUUUCAAUGUGGCAAGAGGAGCUGGCUGUGCUCAGGGUUCUGGUCUACCCAAUGCAGGAGACAUGAGACACAGGUUUGAGCUCUGGGUUGGAAAGAUCCCCUGGAGUAGGAAAUGGCAACCCACUCCAGAAUUCUUGCCUGGAGAAUCCCCAUGGACAGAGGAGCCUGGUGGGCUACAGUCUGUAAGGUCGCAGAGUCAGAAAGAAUGAAGUGACUUAAUACGCACACAUGGCUGCCUGCUGUGCGAGACUCUAGACAAGCCUCUUGCCCUCUUAGUCCCCCUGGGUCCUCUGGGGGCCCUUCAUGCAGUGACCUACCAGGAUUCCAGGUUUCCUUCCCAAAACUUCUGAGAGUAGGGGAAGUCCUAGGAGGCUGGAUGCUGAGAUGUGAAG
ensembl:lncRNA